rnacentral:rRNA from 1 species
UACGUAGGGUGCAAGCGUUAAUCGGAAUUACUGGGCGUAAAGCGUGCGCAGGCGGUGAUGUAAGACAGGUGUGAAAUCCCCGGGCUUAACCUGGGAACUGCAUUUGUGACUGCAUCGCUGGAGUGCGGCAGAGGGGGAUGGAAUUCCGCGUGUAGCAGUGAAAUGCGUAGAUACGCGGAGGAACACCGAUGGCGAAGGCAAUCCCCUGGGCCUGCACUGACGCUCAUGCACGAAAGCGUGGGGAGCAAACAGG